GUUGGCUUGGAAGCAGCCAUUCAUUUAAAGAGUGCGUAACAGCUCACUAGUCGAGCGGUUCGGCAUGGAUAAUAAUCGGGCAUAAGCAUAUUACCGAAGCUAUGGAUUUGUACGUAAGUACAACUGGUAGGAGAGCAUUCUAUCGGCGUAGAAGCUGAGUCGUGAGGCUUGGUGGAGCUUAUAGAAAAGAAAAUGUAGGCAUAAGUAACGAUAAAGCGGGCGAGAAACCCGCUCACCGAAAGACUAAGGUUUCCUCAGCCAUGCUAAUCAGCUGAGGGUUAGUCGGGGCCUAACGCGAACCCGAGAGGGGUAGUGGAUGGACAUAGGGUUAAUAUUCCCUAACUUGCUCACGAGGAAAGUGACGGUUCAAUGAGACUUAAGAAGACUGACGGAAUAGUUAAGACCUAGCCUACGGGCGAAGUUGAUUAAGAGCAGUUGGAUCCAAGAAAAGCGAGUGAAGCAACCCGUACCAUAAACCGACACAGGUAGUCGAGGAGAGAAUCCUAAGGUGCUCGAGUGAGUCGUGGCUAAGGAACUAGGCAAAAUAGUCUCGUAACUUCGGGAGAAGAGACGCCAACAGCGAUGUUGGCCGCAGUGAAGAGGCCCAGGCGACUGUUUAACAAAAACACAGGACUCUGCUAAAUCGAAAGAUGCUGUAUAGGGUCUGACACCUGCCCGGUGCUGGAAGGUUAAGGAAGGUGCUUAGCGUAAGCGAAGGCAUUGACUGAAGCCCCAGUAAACGGCGGCCGUAACUAUAACGGUCCUAAGGUAGCGAAAUUCCUUGUCGGGUAAGUUCCGACCUGCACGAAUGGUGUAACGAUCUGGGCACUGUCUCAGCCACGAGCUCGGUGAAAUUGUAGUAUCGGUGAAGAUGCCGAUUACCCGCAAUGGGACGAAAAGACCCUGUGAACCUUUACUAUAACUUCGUAUUGACUUUGAGUAAGUAAUGUGUAGGAUAGGUGGGAGACGUAGAAGCAGGCACGCUAGUGUUUGUGGAGUCGCUGUUGAAAUACCACCCUUUGCUUACUUAGAGCCUAACUUCUGAAUGGAAGGACAUUGCGUGGUGGGUAGUUUGACUGGGGUGGUCGCCUCCAAAAGAGUAACGGAGGCUUUCAAAGGUACCCUCAGCACGCUUGGUAACCGUGCGUAGAGUGUAAUGGCAAAAGGGUGCUUGACUGUGAGACCAACAAGUCGAUCAGGUGCGAAAGCAGGACAUAGUGAUCCGGUGGUUCCGAGUGGAAGGGCCAUCGCUCAUAGGAUAAAAGGUACUCCGGGGAUAACAGGCUAGUCUCCCCCAAGAGCUCACAUCGACGGGGAGGUUCGGCACCUCGAUGUCGGCUCGUCACAUCCUGGGGCUGGAGAAGGUCCCAAGGGUUG
rnacentral:rRNA from 1 species